rnacentral:rRNA from 1 species
GAGGAAUAUUGCACAAUGGGCGCAAGCCUGAUGCAGCAACGCCGCGUGAGGGACGAAGGCCUUCGGGUCGUAAACCUCUUUUCUGAGGGACGAGCAAGGACGGUACCUCAGGAAUAAGUCUCGGCUAACUACGUGCCAGCAGCCGCGGUAAAACGUAGGAGGCGAGCGUUAUCCGGAUUUACUGGGCGUAAAGCGUACGCAGGUGGCUUCGUGAGUCGGACAUGAAAGCUCCUGGCUUAACUGGGAGAGGUUGUUCGAUACUGCGGGGCUUGAGGUUGGGAGAGGGACGUGGAAUUCCCGGUGUAGUGGUGGAAUGCGUAGAUAUCGGGAGGAACACCAGUGGCGCAAGCGGCGUCCUGGCCCACACCUGACGCUGAGGUACGAAAGCGUGGGUAGCAAACAG